CGACCCUUAAGCCCUUGUUGCUUAGCGUUGGGAAUCUACGGCGUAGUUCCUCAAAGUUAGUGGCGGAGUUAGGGUACACUCUCAGCGUAGUAAUCUCUCUCGCUCGUGUGGUGGCCCUGGCUGCUAGCCGUUAAACCCCUAUAUUUUCUAGU
rnacentral:misc_RNA from 1 species